UUAUGCAGUGUGUUUUGGUUUUGACAUAAUAUUUUCAUGAAUGCACUACAUUCUAUGAAACAGGAUUUAAUAUUUUGUUUCAAUUCGCCUCUUCCAGCAGGGGUCCGGCAGAAAUCCAGCUGACCUGGAGCGCUUUUGGGCCGACCCAGCAAGACACAUGGGCUGAGUCGAAGCAGGGUCUUUGCAGACUGGCCUUUAGCUCUUUCUCAUUGAAAAUAGACUCCCACUGGUCUGCUUUUGGCUUUGAAAGGAUGUUCCUUUAUGUGCCUGGCCCCCCAUCCUACCACACCACAAUACUAUUAAUAAUGACACUGGACCAAUUUACAAACUCACAAAGGAACUGAGAUGCUACUCGGCGUCUCAGUAUGACUUUGGCAUGACAGCCUAUUGCUGAUGUUUUAAUAUCCUCAGAAAACAAUUUCUCAAAGCAAUGUUGCCAUCCACACAAAUUCGACGCUAAUAUUUUAAUAGUCGGAAGGAUGUGCCUGCCCUGUGGUUUAAGUGCAUUAAACUGGGAGGCAGCGAUUGUAUUGUUUUGAAUGCAUUUACUGUGAAUCCAGCAGUGACGUGCGGGUUGCAGAGCAAAAUUCAAUCAGUUGCUUGUGUGCACUAAUAACACCUGGUGAGGGGACAAGCAUCACGCUGAGGGCUUGCACUGAUCCCUGCCUGCACAAGGCUGCAAAUCAAAGCAUCAGAGGUGUUUCAUCUUUUCGCUGGAGUCUCCGGGGUUAAGACUGAAAGGAUGACACUUCAAUUUAUGGCUCCUCCAAUCUACAGCCACGAGCAGAUCCUCUCCCAGCAUCUACGAUCCAGACGCACAAGGGAGAAACCUUGACGAGGCGCAUGAGAGGAAAACCAGCACAUUUGGACACUCACCCACUUGCUCCCCUCCACUUGGCGACCAGAAUAGAAGCAGCAAAGCGACAUUGACGAGCCCACUGGGCCUGCAGGCUGACGUUAGCCCACCCUGGGAUGAGGCUGGUGAAGGACCACCCCAGCAGGCUGCUAAGCCCAGGGUGCAUCAGCCAAUUUAUGACACCCACCAUGGGGGAUUGCACUGUAAACACUUUAGAAAUCAAGUGUCGUCAUAGACCUGCUCCUUUGCUUCCUGCUUCUAUUCAAGUGUUUAUUUUUUGACUGUUUAUUAUACCAACAGAUUUAUUUGUCACUAUUAUUAGCAUGAUUGAUAUCCUGAAACAGUCACACUCCUUGUCUUGCAUACAUAUUAUUCCUGUGCCUUUUAUUUGGUCACUUGAAGCUUGAUAUAUAUCGAGAACGUGCAUCAUUUUUCUAAUUUUUCUGCAUUUGCGCAUUGCACAAAAAAACACGUCUCUGAAUUGUGUCUCCACCUUUAGCUCCCAGAAAACUGUGACAUUUUAUGAAUUAUUAUAAAUUAAAAACAAUCCCAUAAAGACAAUGUAUAUUUUAUCCACUGUAUGACAUGAUUGAUAUCUCAGAACGCUCAUUAUCACACACUGAUCAUGUUUAUGAUUGUUAUAUAUUGCAUUAUAGUCUAUAGAGGAUAAUUUACUCACACUGAAUUUACAUUUUAACAUUGCAUACAGUGCAACCUUUUAAACAAAUGUUAUAUCUUAAAAUGCACACUGGUCAACUGUAAAUAAGCUUAAUGUGAUGACAUGUAUACUUAAUCAAAUCAAAUCAAGUUUAUUCAUAAAGCACAUAUAAAAA
rnacentral:lncRNA from 1 species